rnacentral:rRNA from 1 species
UCAAGUUAUUAAGGGUGCAGGGCGGAUGCCUUGGCACUAGGAGCCGAUGAAGGACGUGAUAAGCUGCGAUAAGCUUCGGGGAGUUGCACGUAAACUUUGAUCCGAAGAUUUCCGAAUGAGGAAACUCACUUAGAGUAAUGUCUAAGUAUCAUUAAGUGAAUACAUAGCUUAAUGAGGGGAACUCAGGGAACUGAAACAUCUAAGUACCUGAAGGAAGAGAAAGAAAUUCGAUUCCGUAAGUAGCGGCGAGCGAACGCGGAUUAGCCCAAACCAAUAAAGUUUUCUUUGUUGGGGUUGCGGACAUAUCAUAACGAAGAGGUAUCGUAAUUGAAGAGGUUUGGAAAGACCCACCACAGAAGGUAAUAGUCCUGUAUGUUAAACGAGAAGACUUUAGAUAUGAUCCAGAGUACCACGGGACACGUGAAACCCUGUGGGAAGCAGGAGGGACCACCCUCCAAGGCUAAAUACUACCUAGUGACCGAUAGCGUAUAGUACCGUGAGGGAAAGGUGAAAAGAACCCCGGGAGGGGAGUGAAAUAGAACCUGAAACCCUGCACUUACAAGCUGUGGAAGCACAUUUCUUGUGUGACCGCGUACUUUUUGUAGAACGGGCCAACGAGUUACGUUAAGUAGCAAGGUUAAGCACUUAAGGUGUGGAGCCGUAGCGAAAGCGAGUUUUAACUGAGCGUUCAGUUACUUGACGUAGACCCGAAACCGGGCGACCUACCCAUGAGCAGGAUGAAGCGAAAGUAAAAUUUCGUGGAGGUCCGAACCCACGAGCGUUGAAAAGCUCGGGGAUGACUUGUGGGUAGCGGUGAAAUUCCAAUCGAGCCCGGAGAUAGCUGGUUCUCCCCGAAAUAGCUUUAGGGCUAGCCUCAAGGUGAGAGAUACGGAGGUAGAGCACUGAAUGUCCUAGGGGGUAUUGCACCUACCGAAGACUAUCAAACUCCGAAUGCCGUCAUCUUAUACUUGGGAGUCAGACUGUGGGUGAUAAGAUUCAUAGUCGAAAGGGCAACAGCCCAGAUCGUCAGCUAAGGUCCCUAAAUGUAAGUUAAGUGGUAAAGGAUGUGGGAUUGCACAGACAACCAGGAUGUUGGCUUAGAAGCAGCCACUCAUUCAAAGAGUGCGUAAUAGCUCACUGGUCGAGUGAUCCUGCGCCGAAGAUUUCCGGGGCUAAAACUUACUACCGAAGCUACGGCAUCAGUAAUGAUGGGUAGGGGAGCUUCCCAUACGGGUUGAAGCAUGACCGUAAGGACAUGUGGACAGUAUGGGAGUGAGAAUGUUGGCAUGAGUAGCGAGAUGUGGGUGAGAAUCCCACAGGCCGUAAACCCAAGGUUUCCAGGGGAAGGUUCGUCCGCCCUGGGUUAGUCGGGACCUAAGCUGAGGCCGAAAGGCGUAGGUGAUGGACAACAGGUUGAUAUUCCUGUACUACCGAUAACCGUUUGAGAGAAGGGAUGACACAGUAGGAUAAGCUAAGCACACUGUUGGUUAUGUGUGCCCAAGCAUUGAGGCAGUCAAAGUAGGCAAAUCCGCUUUGAUAAUGCUGGGAUGUGAUGGGGAGCGAAAUUUAGUAGCGAAGUAGCUGAUUUCACACUGUCAAGAAAAGUCUCUAUCGAGGUUAAAGGUACCCGUACCGCAAACCGACACAGGUGGGUGAGGAGAGUAUCCUAAGGCCAGCGAGAGAACUGUUGUUAAGGAACUCGGCAAAAUGACCCCGUAACUUAGGGAUAAGGGGUGCCACCAUCAGGUGGCCGCAGAGAAUAGGCCCAAGCGACUGUUUACCAAAAACAUAGGUUUCUGCUAAGUCGCAAGACGAUGUAUAGGAGCUGACGCCUGCCCGGUGCUGGAAGGUUAAGGGGAUCUGUUAGAGCAAUCGAAGCAGUGAACUUAAGCCCCAGUAAACGGCGGCCGUAACUAUAACGGUCCUAAGGUAGCGAAAUUCCUUGUCGGGUAAGUUCCGACCCGCACGAAAGGCGUAACGAUUUGGGCACUGUCUCAACAACAGACUCGGUGAAAUUGUAAUUCCGGUGAAGAUGCCGGAUACCUGCGACAGGACGGAAAGACCCCAUGGAGCUUUACUGUAGCUUGACAUUGGGUCUUGGUACUACAUGUACAGGAUAGGUGGGAGGCUUUGAAACCAGGACGCCAGUUUUGGCGGAGCCAUCCUUGGGAUACCACCCUUGUAGUACUGGGACUCUAACCAUAGGCCAUGAAUCUGGUCUUGGGACACUGUCAGGUGGGCAGUUUGACUGGGGCGGUCGCCUCCCAAAAGGUAACGGAGGCGCUCAAAGGUUCUCUCAGUACGGUCGGAAAUCGUACGUAGAGUGUAAAGGCAAAAGAGAGCUUGAUUGCAAGACAUACAGGUCGAGCAAGGAUGAAAAUCGGACUUAGUGAUCCGGUGGUUCUGCGUGGAAGGGCCAUCGCUCAACGGAUAAAAGCUACCCUGGGGAUAACAGGCUUAUCUCCCCCAAGAGUCCACAUCGACGGGGAGGUUUGGCACCUCGAUGUCGGCUCAUCACAUCCUGGGGCUGUAGUAGGUCCCAAGGGUUGGGCUGUUCGCCCAUUAAAGUGGUACGCGAGCUGGGUUCAGAACGUCGUGAGACAGUUCGGUCCCUAUCCGUCGCAGGCGUAGGAAAUUUGAGAAGACCUGUCCUUAGUACGAGAGGACCGGGAUGGACGUACCUCUGGUGUACCAGUUGUCCUGCCAAGGGCAUGGCUGGGUAGCUAUGUACGGAAUGGAUAAGCGCUGAAAGCAUCUAAGCGCGAAGCCAACUUCAAGAUAAGAUUUCCCACCGCAAGGGUAAGACCCCAGAAAGACUAUCUGGUUGAUAGGUCGAAGGUGUAAGUGCAGCAAUGUAUUUAGCUUAUCGAUACUAAUAGGUCGAGGACUUGACCAA